rnacentral:pre_miRNA from 1 species
GAUAUCAACUGAAAAAGUCAUCAACAAUAAAGUUGAAUAACUCAUCAAGAUCUAAAACUUUUAUUUUGGUCAUUUCUUCAUACGACAAAGUGAUAGUAACAUUGUUCACAAAAUUGACAUAUCUCUUAUCUGGUUUUAUAAACUAUAACACAUAUAUGUAAAAUUUUUGAAUAAUAUUACUAACAUUUCGUCGGAUGAAGAAAUAACAAAAGUAAAAGUUUUAGAUCUUGAUGAGUUAUUCAACUUUGUUGUUGAUGACUUUUUCAAUUGAAAUC